GACAAGAUUGGAAGUGCCUUCUAGAUAAUGAUGCUGUCGUAAUGUGUAAAAUCUUGCUUGAGAAUGCUCUGGGCACCUGGCUGUAGAAGGAAGAAUAGAAACUGCGAUAACAAAAUCCUAAAUAAAAUACUAACAAUGCUCUAAUUAGAUAAUAAUAAUGCUAAAUAAACGUAAUCAAAUUCAAAACAACUCAAAGAAAUUUCAAAAAAAUAAUAAAAUUCUUAAAGAAAUAUUAGAAUGAUCACAAAUUUUAUUCAAAUAUAUGUCAAUUCAACCUUAAUUUAAUUCUAGUUAAAACCCUAUUGAAUUUCACUCAACUUUAGACCAAACCUAAUUAAAUCUUAAAUCCUAAUAAUUCCAAAAUCCUAAGUCAAAUCUCAAAUAAAUCUUAAAUUAAAUCCUAUUCCAAACCCUAAACCCUAAACCAAACCCUAAAUCAAACCCUAAACCAAACCUUAAAUCAAAUCCUAACCAAACCCUAAAUCAAAUCCUAAACCAAACCUUAAAUCAAAUCCUAACCAAACCCUUAUCCAAACCCUAAAUCAAACCCUAACCAAAUCCUAAAUCCUAAUCAAAAUCCUAAUCCAAAUCCUAGCCAAACCCUGAUCCAAACCCUAGUCCAAACCCUAGCAAAAUCCUAAUCCAAACCCUAAUCCAAACCCUAAACCGAACCCUAGCCAAAUCCUAAUCCAAAUCCUAGUAAUUCCUAUGACAAAUUUAAACCUCAAUAUCUAAUGAAUAAACC
rnacentral:lncRNA from 1 species